UACAGAGGGUGCGAGCGUUGUCCGGAAUCACUGGGCGUAAAGGGCGCGUAGGCGGCUUUUCAAGCGUGCGGUGAAAGCUCGGGGGCUUAACUCCGAGUCUGCCGUGCGAACUGGGAAGGCUUGAGUCUGGUAGAGGUCGAUGGAAUUCCGGGUGUAGCGGUGGAAUGCGUAGAGAUCCGGAAGAACACCGGUGGCGAAGGCGGUCGACUGGCCAGUACUGACGCUGAGGCGCGACGAGCGCUGGGAGGCAAACAGG
rnacentral:rRNA from 1 species